rnacentral:rRNA from 1 species
GACGAACGCUGGCGGCGUGCUUAACACAUGCAAGUCGAACGGUAAGGCCCUUCGGGGUAUACGAGUGGCGAACGGGUGAGUAACACGUGGGUGAUCUGCCCUGCACUUCGGGAUAAGCCUGGGAAACUGGGUCUAAUACCGGAUAGGACUCCGGACUGCAUGGUCUGGGGUGGAAAGCUUUUGCGGUGUGGGAUGGGCCCGCGGCCCAUCAGCUCGUUGGUGGGGUGAUGGCCUACCAAGGCGACGACGGGUAGCCGGCCUGAGAGGGUGACCGGCCACACUGGGACUGAGAUACGGCCCAGACUCCUACGGGAGGCAGCAGUGGGGAAUAUUGCACAAUGGGCGCAAGCCUGAUGCAGCGACGCCGCGUGAGGGAUGACGGCCUUCGGGUUGUAAAUCUCUUUCAGCAUCGACGAAGCGAAAGUGACGGUAGGUGCAGAAGAAGGACCGGCCAACUACGUGCCAGCAGCCGCGGUAA